CGGUUUCAUUUUUUCAGUCAUAGAUAUAUGAUUUGCUCUAUUAUUUAUGCAGUUCAGUUCAAUUUUGGUUUUUUAGUUUGGUACGGUUUGGUCCGUGGUUUUGGAUAAAUAUGCUCAAACUUAUACACUAUCUUAUAUAGAAAUUCGCUUAAAAUAUAUUUAAUUACAAAUACAAACCCGCGCUUUCUAAGCGCGGAUCAAAAUCUAGUAUUACUUAUAAACCAAACUAGCCAAACACCGGACUAACCUAUUAGUAUUUCUUUUUACCAAAAUAUUUAAAACUAUUAAAAUUCCGUGAUAGAACCAAAUCACUAGAAUAAUUUUUAUCUGAAAUAUUUAAAUUUAUUCAAAUUAUCCGAUAAUUUACCAAAAAAAAUCAAAAUGUCAUUUAACCCAAAUUAUUCAAAAUUAUCCGAAAAAUAGAAAUCAAACAAAACUGAAUUGAACUCAAAAUUGUAUUGAUUCAUAAUAUUGGUAUUUGAACCACACCAAAAAACAAAAUAACCAAACCUAAACUAAACUCAAUCUGGUAAAUAACUGAACCGGUUUAUAUCUGUUGAACUAAAAACAAAAAAAAAAAAAAUACAAAAACCAUAACUGAAAAUGAACCAAAACAAAACAAAAACUUGAAUCGAACCAAAAUGCGAACAAAAAAUAAAUUUAUCAACAAAAGUUAACCCAUGAACAAACAUACAUAUUAAUAUCAACAAAAAAUAAUUUUGCGCUUUAAAAGCUUCGAUCAAAAUCUAGCUACAUAUAAUUAUAAUACAAUACAGAUAUUUAAUAGUUGAAUAAUGAGUUUUUUACACCUAGAGACACUUUCUCACUUUUCAAUUAAUUUAUAAGAUAUUUAGUGCUUGAGACACACUUUCUCAUGUCAAAAAGACUCAUAUGACCGUAGAACUUUAUUGUUUCUCUCGUAGUCUUUAUGUUUUUAAUAUAAAAGUUGUUUUCUUCUCAUCACAUGAAUCUCUCUCCUCUUCUUAUUCCGCUUUAUGUUUUCAUUUACUUUUUUCUCAAAUUCUAAAAUGUAUUAAAUUAAAAUAAUUAUCAUAAUAAAUUAUACAUAAAAUUAUCUAUCUUUUAAGAUCUAUUUUUAUAUAUAUAAUGUGAUGUCAUAGAAAGGAAAGCUUAGAAAAAAUACUCUUGAUAUUAAAGUAAAUAAUUAAUAUUCCCUUUUAAAAUUUAUCGGUUAUGUUUUUAUAAAAUUUUGUACCUAUCAUCACUUUAUUUUAUAAUAUUAUUUUUACAAAUUAACAUAUACUAGAUGACUAAGAAAUCAAAUAUAUAUUUACAUAUCUAAUAUGAAAACCAAAACUAAUACAAUGAAUACAAAAAAAUAC
rnacentral:lncRNA from 1 species